UCACUGUUUAGUUGGUAAAGCACAAAGCUCUUAACCUUGUGGACGUGGGUUCAAGCCCCAUGGUGAG
rfam:Triticum aestivum genome assembly, contig: Triticum_aestivum_CS42_TGACv1_scaffold_170217_2DL